GCUUGCUUCUACUCCCCUAUCGUGGCCGAAAACUAUAACGGUCUAAAGAGCUUCCCCACUUGGCUACACAGUCGCAUCCUAACGAAGCUGCCCCGCAAUCAAGCUGUUCAAGCAUCCUGCGAAGUGCUAAACGAGCCGAUCCGUCUGCUAACUGAACGGCUAAAUUAAGGAGACGAGUACACGAUUCUCCAGAGGGAUCGAAGAAACCUGUCGCGAAUGCCGAUCGAAUUUUUGCGAUGAUGCUCUGCUGCAGCUCACCCUGUUACUUGAAUGUCGGCCUCAUCAGAAGUUGUGUCAGAGGCAGAAGAAUCCAACGCUUUCAGUGCCCGUAUCCUGCAGUCAGACUGAGAGCCUAUCUCAUAGUCCUCGUCCUUUUACUCAUCCAAUUCUUCUUUCGCUACUCAAUUCAAAAGCCAGGCACUGGAAUCACUCAUACUGCCUGCGUUCCAUCUUGACAUCGGAAUUUGGGUAUAUUUCAAUCUUUCACGCGCUUCAAAGUGUACACUUGUUACCGUACUAAUCAAGUGCUGUGAGGAUGAGCCAAAUUAUCUUAGACUGACUCUAUGCCAUUAAAGGUUUUGAUGUACUGCAUCUAGUAAAUAAUUCAAGGUGUGUCAAACCUUGAAUGAACAGGCUCUAGUUCCUGAAGUUCUGGUGCUAAUAAUGCCUAAACUUGUUCUUUAGGUGGGUAUUAUGGAUCAGCUCUGUAUCUUAUUAGAUACCUUGGCAAAAUGUGGUAGUGUUUGCUGAGUGGGUAAAAGGUUGUGCAGACUUAAGUCAAUGAAGGUCUGCAUGGGGACUUGGAAGUUCAGAGGUAGGUGCAGAUUAUAUACAGUACCAUGUUCUCAUAUGGGCUGAUGAUGGAAUAAAGGCUGAGAUACUUGCAAGCCAAUUACUUAGGUGGGCUGUCUCUUAACUAAUACAAACUUCAAAUGGGAGGCACAAGCCCACCAUUUCAGGGUC